CAGUCGCCACGGGAAUACGUAGGUGGCAAGCGUUGUCCGGAAUUAUUGGGCGUAAAGCGCGCGCAGGCGGAUAGGUCAGUCUGUCUUAAAAGUUCGGGGCUUAACCCCGUGAUGAGAUGGAAACUGCCAAUCUAGAGUAUCGGAGAGGAAAGUGGAAUUCCUAGUGUAGCGGUGAAAUGCGUAGAUAUUAGGAAGAACACCAGUGGCGAAGGCGACUUUCUGGACGAAAACUGACGCUGAGGCGCGAAAGCCAGGGGAGCGAACGGGAUUAGAGACCCCCGUAGUCCCUGUCUCUUAUACA
rnacentral:rRNA from 1 species